GGGAAACUGCCUGAUGGAGGGGGAUAACUCCUGUAAACGGUAGCUAAUACCGCAUAACGUCGCAAGACCAAAGAGGGGGACCUUCGGGCCUCUUGCCAUCAGAUGUGCCCAGAUGGGAUUAGCUAGUAGGUGGGGUAACGGCUCACCUAGGCGACGAUCCCUAGCUGGUCUGAGAGGAUGACCAGCCACACUGGAACUGAGACACGGUCCAGACUCCUACGGGAGGCAGCAGUGGGGAAUAUUGCACAAUGGGCGCAAGCCUGAUGCAGCCAUGCCGCGUGUAUGAAGAAGGCCUUCGGGUUGUAAAGUACUUUCAGCGGGGAGGAAGGUGUUGAGGUUAAUAACCUUUUUCUAUUGACGUUACCCGCAGAAGAAGCACCGGCUAACUCCGUGCCAGCAGCCGCGGUAAUACGGAGGGUGCAAGCGUUAAUCGGAAUUACUGGGCGUAAAGCGCACGCAGGCGGUCUGUCAAGUCGGAUGUGAAAUCCCCGGGCUCAACCUGGGAACUGCAUUCGAAACUGGCAGGCUGGAGUCUUGUAGAGGGGGGUAGAAUUCCAGGUGUAGCGGUGAAAUGCGUAGAGAUCUGGAGGAAUACCGGUGGCGAAGGCGGCCCCCUGGACAAAGACUGACGCUCAGGUGCGAAAGC
rnacentral:rRNA from 1 species